CACUUCCGACCACAUGGUCAUGUCCAAGUCCCCCAACAAGCACAACCGCCUCUACUUCCAGGCGACGUGCAUGGAGGAGGGCCUCGCCGAGGCGAUCGACAACGGCGACGUCACCCCCCGCGACGAGCCCAAGGCUCGCGGUCGCUACCUCGCCGAGAAGUUCGGCUGGGACAAGGACCUCUCCAAGAAGAUUUGGUGCUUCGGUCCCGACACCACCGGCCCCAACAUGAUCGUCGACAUGUGCAAGGGUGUGCAGUACCUCAACGAGAUUAAGGAUUCCUGCGUCGCCGCCUUCCAGUGGGCCACCAAGGAGGGUGUCAUGUCCGAGGAGAACAUGCGCGGCAUCAAGUUUGAGGUUCACGACGUGGUGCUUCACACCGACGCCAUCCACCGCGGCGGCGGCCAG
rnacentral:lncRNA from 1 species